rnacentral:snRNA from 1 species
GAAUGUGCGAUCAAUGUGGCUGUGACAUCUGUCAACCAUUAGUUGGUACCCAGGAUUAAUUUGACUGUUCUGACUGCCUAGCUUGGUGCUUCCUUCCUUUAUCACCUGUGCGGGUGAUUCCUUCCCAAUGCUUCACACUCGGUCAAAGAGGAUGACCUUCUCUGAUAGUGAAGGAUCGUUCUUCAUUCAGGGUUUGUGAUUUUUCUGCUAGAACUGCUAAACAAGCUCUCAAAAUGGAACAGAACUUAGAAUGCCUCAAGACAAGAUAAUGUUGUAAUUGUAUACUAUUUUAAUU